GUCUAUGGCAUACUACCCUGAAUGUGCCCGAUUUUGUCUGAUCUCAGAAACUAAGCAGUGUCACGUCUGGUCAGUACUUUAAUGGGAGAUCACCUGGGAAUACUGGGUGCUGCAGGCU
rnacentral:rRNA from 1 species